CCUACGGGAGGCAGCAGUGGGGAAUAUUGGGCAAUGGAGGAAACUCUGACCCAGCGACGCCGCGUGCGGGAUGAAGGCCUUCGGGUUGUAAACCGCUUUCAGUAGGGAAGAAGCGAAAGUGACGGUACCUACAAAAGAAGCACCGGCUAACUAUGUGCCAGCAGCCGCGGUAAUACAUAGGGUGCAAGCGUUGUCCGGAAUUAUUGGGCGUAAAGAGCUCGUAGGUCGUUUGUUACGUCGGAUGUGAAAACCUGAGGCUCAACCUCAGGCCUGCAUUCGAUACGGGCAAACUAGAGUUUGGUAGGGGAGACUGGAAUUCCUGGUGUAGCGGUGGAAUGCGCAGAUAUCAGGAGGAACACCAAUGGCGAAGGCAGGUCUCUGGGCCAAUGCUGACACUGAGGAGCGAAAGUCUGGGGAGCGAACAGGAUUAGAUACCCUGGUAGUCCAGACCGUAAACGGUGGGCACUAGUUGUGGGAACCUUCCACGGUUUCUGCGACGCAGCUAACGCAUUAAGUGCCCCGCCUGGGGAGUACGAUCGCAAGAUUAAAACUUAAAGGAAUUGACGG
rnacentral:rRNA from 1 species